rnacentral:sRNA from 1 species
AAUAAUUCUUAAAUUUUAAAAAUUACUACUUUAAAAAAAAAAUUACGGAACGGGUAAAGAAAUUACAUAACGGGUUUUAUUUUGGAAUUGGGUUAUAUGGUGAAUGUAUUUGAAUCAAUAUUUAUAAAAUUUUAAAAUAUUAUUAAUAUGUUGUUUUAAUAAGAGUUAAAACUUCAGUUUUUUAACAAUUGUCUCAUGGAUUCGUGGUAUAGUGUUACUUAAUAACAAUUAUAAACUGUAAAAUAUAAAUAUUUUAUAAAAAUAAAAUUUGCAAAUUUUAAUAUAUAUUACUUUUAAAAAAUAAAUCAUCCCGCGGUAUACCGCGGGUUAAAAUCUAGUCCACUAAUUAAGGGUCCAUGAAUGGUCAAAUCAUACUUCACCAAAUCUGAAUUCACUACCAAUUCAAGUAAUACUUAUU